UCGGGAAUUUUGGGCAAUGGGCGAAAGCCUGACCCAGCAACGCCGCGUGAGGGAUGAAGUAUUUCGGUAUGUAAACCUCGAAAGAAUGGGAAGAAUAAAUGACGGUACCAUUUAUAGCUCCGGCUAACUACGUGCCAGCAGCCGCGGUAAUACGUAGGGAGCAAGCGUUGUUCGGAUUUACUGGGCGUAAAGGGCGCGUAGGCGGCGCGGUAAGUCACUUGUGAAAUCUCUGAGCUUAACUCAGAACGGCCAAGUGAUACUGCUGUGCUAGAGUGCGGAAGAGGCAACCGGAAUUCUUGGUGUAGCGGUGAAAUGCGUAGAUAUCAAGAGGAACACCUGAGGCGAAGGCGGGUUGCUGGGCCGACACUGACGCUGAUGCGCGAAAGCCAGGGGAGCAAACG
rnacentral:rRNA from 1 species